AGCUGGAAAUUGGCGAAGGGAAGACGAUCGCUAAGGCUCCAAGUCGGAGGAACGAGAGUAGAAGAAGAAGAAGACGAAGAUGAUAUACCGGAAAUGGAGUCUGCUCACCGGUCCCCCCGUGAUCCUCGGCGGAGUGGUGGCAACCGCCGUCAUCGCCACUUUCAUCUUCUCUAAGAACAAAAGCGUGUCCAAGAAGCAGGAAAAUCGCUCAACUAACAAGUAGAAUCCUCAGAGCUAUGAAAUCGCUCUGGCAACUCUGAUGCAGUUUUCAUGUGGUUUGUGUUUGCUGGAAACAUUGAACCUGAUUUCUGGUGAUUUCUCUAUAACACUUGAAGAAAGGGUUCUGAAUGCCUACUUUGUCUGUUUACAUUCGCUUUUUCAAUGCUCAGAUCAGAUCCAAUAGAUUUUUCCAUUUCCAAAUUCCAUCAAAGGUAAGACACCAUCUUCCUUGCCGCUGCCACUGCAUAUAUUAUGUUUUUCUGUACAUGUUUAAUGGGUACACGGGAGUGUAAUGGUUGAUACACUUGUUAAGGAGGGCUUACACUUGAAAGUUUAUGGUUACCCUUUCUUG